rnacentral:lncRNA from 1 species
GGUUGGAGGAAGGAUAGGGGACGCGAGCCUGCCUCCCAUCUGGCGUUAGACGCUUGUCCCUGCACCGCGUUGCCUUUUAAGUUUUAGCUUACUCCGAGACACCUGCCGUCAGAUAUUUAUGCAGUGCGUGAUUCUUUCUAAAACAACUCCCUGGAAGAGAGGACAUUUAAUUCAACAAUUUAUUGGCCACCUACUAUGCGCCAGGCAGUGAACUUGGAACUUGGGCUACUGGGUUGCAGUAGUGACUAAGACAGUGGUCCCUGUUCUUAAGGAGCAAGUGAGGGCAACAGAAAAGAGCAGUCAGCUGUCAUGGGAGGGCACUCAAGCAGUCCUAUGGAAAGGUCUAUGUGGUGAGGAACUGAAGCCUCCUGCCAACACCAACAAGGAACUGAGACCUGCUUCCAACAGCCAUCUGAGUGAUCCAUCCUAGAAUCAGAUCCUCCAGCCCCAGUCAAGUCUUCAGAUGACUGCAGCCCUGCCAGCAUCUUAACUGCAACCUCAUGAAUGACCCUGAGCCAGAACUGUGCAACUAAACUUUGCCUGGAUUCAUGACCCACAGAAACUGUGAGAUGUUAACUGUUUGCUUUGUUAAGCCUCUAA